CCUACGGGAGGCAGCAGUGAGGAAUAUUGGUCAAUGGCCGUAAGGCUGAACCAGCCAAGUAGCGUGAGGGAAGACUGCCCUAUGGGUUGUAAACCUCUUUUAUGCGGGGAUAAAGGUGUCCACGUGUGGAUGUUUGCAGGUACCGCAUGAAUAAGGACCGGCUAAUUCCGUGCCAGCAGCCGCGGUAAUACGGAAGGUCCGGGCGUUAUCCGGAUUUAUUGGGUUUAAAGGGAGCGUAGGCCGGUCUUUAAGCGUGCCGGGAAAUUUUGUGGCUCAACCAUGAGAGUGCGGCGCGAACUGGAGACCUUGAGUGCGCGGAAGGCAGGCGGAAUUCGUGGUGUAGCGGUGAAAUGCUUAGAUAUCACGCAGAACCCCGAGUGCGAAGGCAGCCUGCCGCAGCGUUACUGACGCUGAAGCUCGAAAGCGCGGGUAUCGAACAGGAUUAGAUACCCCAGUAGUC
rnacentral:rRNA from 1 species